rnacentral:misc_RNA from 1 species
ACAAGACAAGAAACAAUAUUCUCCCGACCCAAUGCCCACAAUCUACCUCAGAGGGGGGCCCCUCCCACUGGAAAACGAUGGGCGAAUUCUGCCCCGUGAACCUGAAUCCUGCCAAUUAUCCUUCACGGGUCCCUAACUCGUGGUUCUCAUCUUCACCCUCUGUCUCUAUAUAACAAGCGAUUCCAGCUUCAUCACCGCCCAGUAGGAGGAGAAACUAAACGCAAAAA